UACGGGGGGUGCAAGCGUUAUCCGGAUUCACUGGGUUUAAAGGGUGCGUAGGUGGGCAGGUAAGUCAGUGGUGAAAUCUCCGGGCUUAACCCGGAAACUGCCAUUGAUACUAUCUGUCUUGAAUAUCGUGGAGGUAAGCGGAAUAUGUCAUGUAGCGGUGAAAUGCUUAGGUAUGACAUAGAACACCAAUUGCGUAGGCAGCUUACUACACGAUCAUUGACGCUGAGGCACGAAAGCGUGGGGAGCAAACAGG
rnacentral:rRNA from 1 species